rnacentral:rRNA from 1 species
AGCAGCCGCGGUAAUUCCAGCUCCAAUAGCGUAUAUUAAAGUUGUUGCAGUUAAAAAGCUCGUAGUUGAAUUUCGGGGUCAGUAGGUUGGUCGUGCCACUGGUAUGUACUGGUCUUACCGAUUCCUCCUUCCUGAUGAACCGUAAUGCCAUUAAUUUGGUGUUGCGGGGAAUCUGGACUGUUACUUUGAAAAAUUAGAGUGUUUAAAGCAGGCAGUCGCUUGAAUACAUUAGCAUGGAAUAAUGAAAUAGGACGUUCGAUCCUAUUUUGUUGGUUUCUAGGAUUGACGUAAUGAUUAGUAGGGAUAGUUGGGGGCAUUAGUAUUCAAUUGUCAGAGGUGAAAUUCUUGGAUUUUAUUGAAGACUAACUACUGCGAAAAGCAUUUGCCAAGGAUGUUUUC